UAGGGAAUCUUCCACAAUGGGCGCAAGCCUGAUGGAGCAACACCGCGUGAGUGAAGAAGGGUUUCGGCUCGUAAAGCUCUGUUGUUGGAGAAGAACGUGCGUGAGAGUAACUGUUCAUGCAGUGACGGUAUCCAACC
rnacentral:rRNA from 1 species